GGUGAUCGAAAGAGCAAAACCCUAACCCUAAAGCCAUCUAUAAAAGAACCGGCAGGAGACUCUACCAUUGUGGCUCUCUUCAUCCCACUUUCUCUCUUUCAGUUCCUUCGCAGAUGACGAGUCCGAUAUCCAUUCUUAAAAAUAGUGACGACAAUCGAGGCAUUUGUCUGAGAGGCAAUCUCUUCUUCCACUCAUUCUAUUUUUAAUUGAUUUUGUUAUUAGAUUUAGGGUUUAUCUUUGUUGAUGAAAGAUUGAUCAGGCAUAAUGAUGAUAUGUUUUUCUGAUAUAUUGAUGAACACAAACCUCCUACUCAUUCUGAAUGCCUGUUCUUUUUUUUUUCCUGAUUUAUUUAUUUAUUAAAAUAAAUUAGGUUUAUUUUGAUUUCUUAAAAUUUGUUUUUGUUUUUUAUAAAAUAAUGGAGAUAGAGAGGAAAAGGAAGGUGUAGCUAUGAUGAUAAACAGAUUAAACGAUACACUGAGAAGCAUCAAUGAUUUUGUUUCAAGCACUUUUGAGCUGCUUCUCCUUUUCUUUC